rnacentral:rRNA from 1 species
CCAGACUCCUACGGGAGGCAGCAGUGAGGAAUAUUGGUCAAUGGGCGGGAGCCUGAACCAGCCAAGUCGCGUGAGGGACGACGGUCCUAUGGAUUGUAAACCUCUUUUGUCGGGGAACAAAGGCGCCCACGGGUGGGCGGGUGAGUGUACCCGAAGAAAAAGCAUCGGCUAACUCCGUGCCAGCAGCCGCGGUAAUACGGAGGAUGCGAGCGUUAUCCGGAUUUAUUGGGUUUAAAGGGUGCGUAGGCGGUUUGAUAAGUUAGAGGUGAAAUGUCGGGGCUCAACCCCGAAACUGCCUCUAAUACUGUUGGACUAGAGAAUAGUUGCGGUAGGCGGAAUGUAUGGUGUAGCGGUGAAAUGCUUAGAGAUCAUACAGAACACCGAUUGCGAAGGCAGCUUACCAAGCUAUAUCUGACGUUGAGGCACGAAAGCGUGGGUAGCAAACAGGAUUAGAUACCCUAGUAA